rnacentral:rRNA from 1 species
GUGGAUUAGAUACCCUGGUAGUCCUAGCCGUAAACGAUGGAUACUAGGCGUUGCCCGUAUCGACCCGGGCAGUGUCGUAGCCAACGCGUUAAGUAUCCCGCCUGGGGAGUACGCACGCAAGUGUGAAACUCAAAGGAAUUGACGGGGGCCCGCACAAGCGGUGGAGUAUGUGGUUUAAUUCGAUGCAACGCGAAGAACCUUACCAGGGCUUGACAUGUCCGGAAUCUCUUGGAAACGAGAGAGUGCCUACGGGAGCCGGAACACAGGUGGUGCACGGCUGUCGUCAACU